GGCUGCAAUCAUACCAGCAAUAAUGCACCGAAUCCCAUCAGAACUCCGAAAUUAAGCUUGCUUGGACGAGAAUAGUACUAGAAUAGGUGACCUUCUGGAAAGACCUCGCGUUGCACCCC